rnacentral:rRNA from 1 species
GGAAGUAAAAGUCGUAACAAGGUCUCCGUAGGUGAACCUGCGGAGGGAUCAUUACCGAGUGUGGCGCUCCGGCGCCUCCCUCCAACCCCAUGUCGAAACGACUCUGUUGCCUCGGGGGCGACCCGGCCUUCGGGCGUCGGGGCCCCCGGUGGACACCUUCAUAACUCUUGCAUCUCUUGCGUCUGAGUGAUACAUAUAAUCAAUCAAAACUUUCAACAACGGAUCUCUUGGUUCUGGCAUCGAUGAAGAACGCAGCGAAAUGCGAUAAGUAAUGUGAAUUGCAGAAUUCAGUGAAUCAUCGAAUCUUUGAACGCACAUUGCGCCCCCUGGCAUUCCGGGGGGCAUGCCUGUUCGAGCGUCAUUACACCACUCAAGCCUGGCUUGGUAUUGAGCGCCGCGGCCUGCCCGCGCGCUCCAAUGUCUCCGGCUGAGCCGUCCGUCUCUAAGCGUUGUGAAUAGCGAUCGCUUGCGAGGCCCGGGCGGUUCGACGCCGUUAAACCCCCCAUUUUCUAUGGUUGACCUCGGAUCAGGUAGGGAUACCCGCUGAACUUAAGCAUAUCAAUAAGCGGA